GGGUGUUUAGCUCAGGGGGAGAGCGCUUCCUUCACACGGAAGAGGCCACUGGUUCGAUCCCAGUAACACCCACCA
rnacentral:tRNA from 1 species